ACUCCUACGGGAGGCAGCAGUAGGGAAUUUUUCGCAAUGGAGGAAACUCUGACGGAGCAAUACCGCGUGUGGGAAGAAGAUUUUCGGAUUGUAAACCACUGUUGUAAGGGAAGAACGUUAUUAGUAGGAAAUGGCUAAUAAGUGACGGUACCUUACCAGAAAGGGACGGCUAACUACGUGCCAGCAGCCGCGGUAAUACGUAGGUCCGAGCGUUAUCGGAAUUAUUGGCGUAAAGGGCACGUAGGCGGACAAAUAAGUUUGAUGUCAAAUAUGAUGGCUCAACCAUCAAGAGGCGUUGAAAACUGUUUAUCUAGAAUCUCGGAGAGGUAAGUGGAAUUCCAUGUGUAGCGGUGGAAUGCGUAGAUAUAUGGAGGAACACCAAUGGCGAAGGCAGCUUACUGGACGAAGAUUGACGCUGAGGUGCGAAAGCGUGGGUAGCAAACAGGAUUAGAUACCCUGGUAGGAUAGCGUAGUCGUAGGAAC
rnacentral:rRNA from 1 species